rnacentral:rRNA from 1 species
CCUACGGGAGGCAGCAGUGGGGAAUUUUGCGCAAUGCUCGUAAGAGUGACGCAGCGACGCCGCGUGAAUGACGAAGGCCUUCGGGUCGUAAAGUUCUUUCGACAGGGAAGAAAAUGCCUAUAAGUAACUGUGUAUGUAUUGACGGUACCUGUAUAAGCAGCCCCGGCUAACUCCGUGCCAGCAGCCGCGGUAAUACGGAGGGGGCGGGCGUUGUUCGGAGGGACUGGGCGUAAAGAGCACGUAGGCGGUGUUGUAAGUCAUUAGUCAAAGACUAGAGCUCAACUUUAGUAAGGCUAGUGAUACUAUAAUACUAGAGUAUCAGAGAGGAUUGCAGAAUUCCUGGUGGAGCGGUGAAAUGCGUAGAGAUCAGGAGGAAUACCGUUAGCGAAGGCGGCAAUCUGGCUGGAAACUGACGCUGAGGUGCGAAAGCGUGGGUAGCAAACAGGAUUAGAUACCCUAGUAGUC